GGGAGUUAUGAAAUGCGAUGCGGUUAAUACCCGUGUCGUUUGACAAAUGCCCCAGAGGAAGCACUGGCUAACUACGUGCCAGCAGCCGCGGUAAUACGUAGAGUGCAAACGUUGUUCGGAAUUACUGGGCAUAAAGCGCUUGUAGGCGGCGUGGCGGGUCGGUUGUGAAAGCCCCUGGCUCAACCAGGGAAUUGCAGCCGAAACUUCCAUGCUUGAGUGUGAGAGGGGAGAGUG
rnacentral:rRNA from 2 species